CCUACGGGCGGCAGCAGUGGGGAAUAUUGGACAAUGGGCGAAAGCCUGAUCCAGCCAUGCCGCGUGUGUGAGGAAGGCCUUCGGGUUGUAAAGCACUUUCAGUGGGGAAGAAAGCCUUGGGGCUAAUACCCUCGAGGAAGGACAUCACCCACAGAAGAAGCACCGGCUAACUCCGUGCCAGCAGCCGCGGUAAUACGGAGGGUGCGAGCGUUAAUCGGAAUUACUGGGCGUAAAGCGCGCGUAGGCGGUCUGAUAAGCCGGUUGUGAAAGCCCCGGGCUCAACCUGGGAACGGCAUCCGGAACUGUCAGGCUAGAGUGCAGGAGAGGAAGGUAGAAUUCCCGGUGUAGCGGUGAAAUGCGUAGAGAUCGGGAGGAAUACCAGUGGCGAAGGCGGCCUUCUGGACUGACACUGACGCUGAGGUGCGAAAGCGUGGGUAGCAAACAGGAUUAGAUACCCGAGUAGUC
rnacentral:rRNA from 1 species